CCUACGGGAGGCAGCAGUGAGGAAUAUUGGUCAAUGGACGAGAGUCUGAACCAGCCAAGUAGCGUGAAGGAUGACUGCCCUAUGGGUUGUAAACUUCUUUUAUAUGGGAAUAAAAUGUUCCACGUGUGGGAUUUUGUAUGUACCAUAUGAAUAAGGAUAGGCUAACUCCGUGCCAGCAGCCGCGGUAAUACGGAGGAUCCGAGCGUUAUCCGGAUUUAUUGGGUGUAAAGGGAGCGUAGGUGGAUUGUUAAGUCAGUUGUGAAAGUGUGCGGCUCAACCGUAAAAUUGCAGUUGAAACUGGCAGUCUGGAGUACAGUAGAGGUGGGCGGAAUUCGUGGUGUAGCGGUGAAAUGCUUAGAUAUCACGAAGAACUCCGAUUGCGAAGGCAGCUCACUGGACUGCAACUGACACUGAGGCUCGAAAGUGUGGGUAUCAAACAGGAUUAGAUACCCGUGUAGUC
rnacentral:rRNA from 1 species